ACCAUGAAGAGUUUGAUCCUGGCUCAGGAUGAACGCUAGCGGCAGGCUUAACACAUGCAAGUCGAGGGGCAGCGGGGAUAGCAAUAUCUGCCGGCGACCGGCGCA
rnacentral:rRNA from 1 species